rnacentral:tRNA from 1 species
GCCCGGUUAGCUCAGUUGGUAGAGCAGCUGACUCUUAAUCAGCGGGUCAUUGGUUCGAGUCCUAUACCGGGUA